GUAGGUGAACCUGCGGAAGGAUCAUUAACAAAUCAUGUUGGUGCUGCCUGCCAUCAUCAUAUGAUGAUGGUGGUGGUGGUGGCCCAUAUUAACCCGAGUCCGUGCAGCAAUGCCGGGCAAGGUGUGUGAGAGAGCUGUGAAAGGCUCUUCUUUUACACGGUGAAGAUCAAUGUCUGAAAGGGUAGCGAUCUGAUCCACAUAGACGCUUGUAUGUUUGACAGAGUUAGUUGACACUUAUAAAAAUGACAAC
rnacentral:misc_RNA from 1 species